AUCUGAUAGCAUCCCUUGCUUGAAAAAAGUGAUGUUGCAAUCUAUAUUCCAUAACAUGAAAGUGCUUCUUCAAGGCAAAAAACACAGGAAAUGUUAAAGCUUGCUGCAGUUGCUGCGCAAGAAUCCAUUGAACUACAAAAAGAAGCAGAGGAAUUAGAAAUGAAAAUUAAUUAUUUAAAAAAGACAUUUGAAGAGACUACAGAAGAUGAAAAUAACCCCAAAGUGAUUGAAGGAAAAAAUCAGAAAAGUCUAGAGAAGCCAAAGGAGUUUAAAGAAAGGAUAUUUCAAGAGAGUGAACAUCCAUCUUUGCUAAAUGAGAAACAUCAACUGUAUAAACCAUUACAUGUCCCAUGCAUUCCUCAGAAAUUAGUCCAGUCUGUACAGAGUGUUAGAUUCUCAAUGCAACAAACAGAAACAGGGAGAGAAGAAAGAGAAAAGCCUGUGGAACUUUCAGUGGCCACUAGCAGUUCCUCCAGCCUUGCAGAAAAUUCAUCACAGAUGGUUAUUGACACUGCAGGGACUAAUAACCCACAAAUUGCCCAAGUUCCAUCAAUGGCAAGCUUACAAAACCAAAUGCAGUUCAGGUAAGUUUUCUUUAAUAUGAAGUAGUUUUCAUUCUUGAGAUAGAGGUUUAUGGAAAUAAUCCAUAUUUUGACAAACAGUAAUUUUUGUCUUUUAGACUGGUAAUUCCUCCAAAGCAGAUGACUUCCAAUCAACAGUUUGAGAGUGAAAAUGCAGUAAUAGGUACAGUACUGCUAUAAUUUUUUUUGAUAGAUUGUGCUGUUACUGUACGCUGGAUCACAUAAUUAUAAUAGGGAGAAUUCUAGGGGC
rnacentral:lncRNA from 1 species